UGAAAUGAAAACAAAUGAGAAGCACCUAUAGUGUAUGGGUAUUGUGAAGGUUAAAUGAGUUGAUACUUGUAAAAACACAUAGAAAUGACUGAAAAAUUUUUCUUAUUAGACAACUUAAAAGUGAGAAAAAUAUAAGAGAGAAAUUUUAAAGCUGGGUGUCUGGGGGAGACAUCACAUGUCGGUAGGUUCUGUGAUGACCCACAAGCUGCAAAA
rnacentral:lncRNA from 1 species